rnacentral:rRNA from 1 species
UACGAAGGGUGCAAGCGUUACUCGGAAUUACUGGGCGUAAAGCGUGCGUAGGUGGUCUGUUAAGUCUGAUGUGAAAGCCCUGGGCUCAACCUGGGAAUUGCAUUGGAUACUGGCAGGCUAGAGUGCGGUAGAGGAUGGCGGAAUUCCCGGUGUAGCAGUGAAAUGCGUAGAGAUCGGGAGGAACAUCUGUGGCGAAGGCGGCCUGCUGGGCUGUUGCUGACGCUGAGGCGCGACAGCGUGGGGAGCAAACAGG